UACAGAGGGUGCAAGCGUUGUUCGGAAUCACUGGGCGUAAAGCGCACGUAGGCGGAUUCUUAAGUCGGUGGUGAAAUCCUGGAGCUCAACUCCAGAACUGCCUUCGAUACUGGGAGUCUCGAGUCCGGGAGAGGUGAGUGGAACUGCGAGUGUAGAGGUGAAAUUCGUAGAUAUUCGCAAGAACACCAGUGGCGAAGGCGGCUCACUGGCCCGGUACUGACGCUGAGGUGCGAAAGCGUGGGGAGCAAACAGG
rnacentral:rRNA from 1 species